GAUGAACGCUGGCGGCGUGCCUAAUACAUGCAAGUCGAGCGAAGCGGGGACGGGUGAGUAACACGUGGAUAACCUCCUAUAAGACUGGGAUAACUUCGGGAAAACGGAGCUAAACCGGCUUCUUAUAGAUGAAUGCGCUCUGGAUUAGCUAGUGGGUAAGGUAACGGCUAACCAAGGCAACGAUGCAUAGCCGACCGUAGAGGGUGAUCGGCCACACUGGAACUGAGACACGGUCCAGACUCCUACGGGAGGCAGCAGUGGGGAAUCUUCCGCAAUGGGCGAAAGCCUGACGCAGCAACGCCGCGUGUGUGAUGAAGGUCUUCGGGUCGUAAAACUCUUUUAGUAGGGAAGCGGUACCUAAAGAGAAAGCACCGGCUAACUACGUGCCAGCAGCCGCGGUAAUUC
rnacentral:rRNA from 1 species